UCACAUAUCUGUUUUCUUAUAUAAUCUUUAUUGAUGGCCCAGGAGUACUAUUCAAAUUUGGGAAAAGCAAAUCUCCCUUUCUUGAUGUCUAAUAGAAAUUAUAGCAGUAUAAAAAUCUCUGAAGCAGAAGUUGGGAAAAUCCAGCAAAUUUUCAAAAUUUACAAUAAGAUCACUGUGAACAUUGGCGUAACACAGGCCAAAUCAUCCAGUACUGCUGAGCUUUUUCCAUCUGGUCCAAAGUGUUGGAGGGGUGGACCGCACUGCUAUUCCUAGAAAGAACUAAUCAUCUCUUGUGCAUUAUUUCAUGUAGGUCUUUGCUUUCUUGGCCACCAUUUCCACCUCUCUGCACCAAACCGAAACCUCUGUGCUCUAUUAUGUUUGGAGAAGCAGUGGCAUUCCAGCUCAGAGGUGAAUAUCAAUAAAAAAAACCAGCAGGCUGUCAACAACAGCUCCUAGACCACCCAACCACAGUCGAGUUGUCCACACGGACACACCCACAAACACAGACUUACACAAUGAAUCACCUGCAAAACAUGCUGUGAGUGCACACGCUGUACCCUGCAAGAAAGGACACACACUAACACCGGCAUGCUCUGACCUGAAUCCAUGUGAUCGGAUUCAGUUUUGUGUACUCUGUGGAGCUUUCAGAGGUUUCAAGACCCUCGUGGCACGAUAGGUCGAGUCUGUGACGUAACCAUUCAUGGCAUCCCACGGGAGUCUUACACGUUCCAGAUGCUUUCCUAUAUAACGCGUUAGAAACAGGAGAUGUUGCAGUGAAAACAAAA